rnacentral:rRNA from 1 species
CCCUUAGAUGUUCGGGGCCGCACGCGCGCUACACUGACGGAGGCAGCGAGCGUGUCCUUCGCCGGCAGGUGCGGGCAAUCUUGCGAGUCUCCGUCGUGCUGGGGAUAGAUGGUUGCAAUUGUCGAUCUUGAACGAGGAAUUCCUAGUAAGCGCGAGUCAUCAGCUCGCGCUGAUUACGUCCCUGCCCUUUGUACACACCGCCCGUCGCUACUACAGAGUGCCCGUGUCCAAGAAACGGUCGGACCUGUGCGGCCUCUCCGGGCGACCGGAGGGCCGUUACGGGGAAGACCCUUUAUUUGACGCGGGUCGAUGAAGUAAAAGUCGUAACA